AUGCUCGCACUUUCUAUAUGGAGCUGGGAGUGAUUGCCGGUUGGACGACCGAAGACCAUGAAGUAUGAGGAUUGGGACGACAAAGACGACCCACUACCGUUCCCCACUUGGGCUUACAAGUGGGAUGUGAGACGACGGAUGAUCCCUCGGUUAUGUACAAGUUGUACACAAGCGAGCUGGACACAAUUAUGGCUGAGUAGGUGA
rnacentral:rRNA from 1 species